GACGAACGCUGGCGGCGUGCUUAACACAUGCAAGUCGAGCGGAAAGGCCACUUCGGUGGUACUCGAGCGGCGAACGGGUGCGUAACACGUGAGUAAUCUGCCCCUCACUUUGGGAUAGCCACCGGAAACGGUGAUUAAUACCGGAUAUGACCAUAUGUCGCAUGGCGUGUGGUGGAAAGUUUUUCGGUGAGGGAUGUGCUCGCGGCCUAUCAGCUUGAUGGUGAGGUAAUGGCUCACCAUGGCUUCGACGGGUAGCCGGCCUGGGAGGGUGACCGGUCACACUGGGACUGAGACACGGCCCAGACUCCUACGGGCGGCAGCAGUGGGGAAUAUUGGACAAUGGGCGGAAGCCUGAUCCAGCAACGCCGCGUGAGGGAUGACGGCCUUCGGGUUGUAAACCUCUUUCAGUACCGACGAAGCGCAAGUGACGGUAGGUACAGAAGAAGCACCGGCCAACUACGUG
rnacentral:rRNA from 1 species